GUUAUCGUUUAUUUGAUAGUACCUUACUACAUGGAUACCUGUGGUAAUUCCUAGAGCUAAUACAUGCUAAAAACCCCGACUUCAGGAAGGGGUGUAUUUAUUAGAUAAAAAACCAACGCCCUUCGGGGCUCCUUGGUGAAUCAUAAUAACUUAACGAAUCGCAUGGCCUUGCGCCGGCGAUGGUUCAUUCAAAUUUCUGCCCUAUCAACUUUCGAUGGUAGGAUAGUGGCCUACCAUGGUGGCAACGGGUAACGGGGAAUUAGGGUUCGAUUCCGGAGAGGGAGCCUGAGAAACGGCUACCACAUCCAAGGAAGGCAGCAGGCGCGCAAAUUACCCAAUCCCGAUACGGGGAGGUAGUGACAAUAAAUACUGAUACGGGGCUCUUUUGGGUCUCGUAAUUGGAAUGAGAACAAUUUAAAUCCCUUAACGAGGAACAAUUGGAGGGCAAGUCUGGUGCCAGCAGCCGCGGUAAUUCCAGCUCCAAUAGCGUAUAUUAAAGUUGUUGCAGUUAAAAAGCUCGUAGUUGAACCUUGGGCCUGGCUGGCCGGUCCGCCUCACCGCGAGUACUGGUCCGGCUGGGCCUUUCCUUCUGGGGAACCUCAUGGCCUCACUGGCUGUGGGGGACCACGACUUUACUGUGAAAAAUAGAGUGUCAAGCAGGCCUUGCUCAUCAUAGCAUGANAUGAUAGCGGUGUCAUUGUGUCAGACGCGUAUGUAUAGAUGCCGGCUAGAUACGUGAGUAAUCUGAUGC
rnacentral:rRNA from 1 species